UACAGAGGGGGCAAGCGUUGUUCGGAAUUACUGGGCGUAAAGGGCGCGUAGGCGGUUCUUUAAGUCAGGCGUGAAAGCCCUGGGCUCAACCUGGGAGUGGCGCUUGAUACUGGAGGACUAGAGAGUGGGAGAGGUUGGUGGAAUUCCCAGUGUAGAGGUGAAAUUCGUAGAUAUUGGGAAGAACACCGGUGGCGAAGGCGGCCAACUGGACCAUUUCUGACGCUGAGGCGCGAAAGCGUGGGGAGCAAACAGG
rnacentral:rRNA from 1 species